rnacentral:lncRNA from 1 species
CCGGUGCCCGGGGCGUAGGCGCCGGGCAGGGCUGCCUCCGCACUGGUUGCUCCGGCUCCAGCUGGGAGAGGAUUUUCUUCGACGUAACUGCCAGAUUAAGCUACCAUUUAGUCUUCUUCUGUUCAAAACCAAGACAGGAAAGCGUGGAGGACUGAGUGCUGUGCUCAGCUCUUCUCCAGCCAUCAUGACAUACUCCUCAUAACCAUCCUAUGGGACUGGGAGACAAGACUUGAAACCAAAGAAUCAACUAUAAAGCCCAGCAUUACUGAAU